UACAGAGGGGCAAGCGUUAUUCGGAAUUAUUGGGCGUAAAGGGCGCGUAGGCGGCCAUUCAAGUGACGGGUGAAAGCCCUCGGCUUAACCGAGGAACUGCCUGUCAGACUGGAUGGCUUGAGACCGGGAGAGGUGAGUGGAAUUCCCAGUGUAGCGGUGAAAUGCGUAGAUAUUGGGAGGAACACCAGUGGCGAAGGCGGCUCACUGGACCGGAACUGACGCUGAGGCGCGAAAGCGUGGGAGCAACAGG
rnacentral:rRNA from 1 species